GAUGAACGCUGGCGGCGUGCCUAAUACAUGCAAGUCGAGCGAACGGACGAGAAGCUUGCUUCUCUGAUGUUAGCGGCGGACGGGUGAGUAACACGUGGAUAACCUACCUAUAAGACUGGGAUAACUUCGGGAAACCGGAGCUAAUACCGGAUGAUAUUUUGAACCGCAUGGUUCAAAAGUGAAAGGCGGUCUUGCUGUCACUUAUAGAUGGAUCCGCGCUGCAUUAGCUAGUUGGUAAGGUAACGGCUUACCAAGGCAACGAUGCAUAGCCGACCUGAGAGGGUGAUCGGCCACACUGGAACUGAGACACGGUCCAGACGCCUACGGGAGGCAGCAGUAGGGAAUCUUCCGCAAUGGGCGAAAGCCUGACGGAGCAACGCCGCGUGAGUGAUGAAGGUCUUCGGAUCGUAAAACUCUGUUAUUAGGGAAGAACAUAUGUGUAAGUAACUGUGCACAUCUUGACGGUACCUAAUCAGAAAGCCACGGCUAACUACGUG
rnacentral:rRNA from 1 species